rnacentral:rRNA from 1 species
UAGAGUUUUGAUCCUGGCUCAGAUUGAACGCUAGCGGGAUGCCUUACACAUGCAAGUCGAACGGCAGCACGGACUUCGGUCUGGUGGCGAGUGGCGAACGGGUGAGUAAUGUAUCGGAACGUGCCUAGUAGCGGGGGAUAACUACGCGAAAGCGUAGCUAAUACCGCAUACGCCCUACGGGGGAAAGCAGGGGAUCGCAAGACCUUGCACUAUUAGAGCGGCCGAUAUCGGAUUAGCUAGUUGGUGGGGUAACGGCUCACCAAGGCGACGAUCCGUAGCUGGUUUGAGAGGACGACCAGCCACACUGGGACUGAGACACGGCCCAGACUCCUACGGGAGGCAGCAGUGGGGAAUUUUGGACAAUGGGGGAAACCCUGAUCCAGCCAUCCCGCGUGUGCGAUGAAGGCCUUCGGGUUGUAAAGCACUUUUGGCAGGAAAGAAACGUUCCGGGUUAAUACCCCGGGAAACUGACGGUACCUGCAGAAUAAGCACCGGCUAACUACGUGCCAGCAGCCGCGGUAAUACGUAGGGUGCAAGCGUUAAUCGGAAUUACUGGGCGUAAAGCGUGCGCAGGCGGUUCGGAAAGAAAGAUGUGAAAUCCCAGAGCUUAACUUUGGAACUGCAUUUUUAACUACCGAGCUAGAGUGUGUCAGAGGGAGGUGGAAUUCCGCGUGUAGCAGUGAAAUGCGUAGAUAUGCGGAGGAACACCGAGGCGAAGGCAGCUCCGGGAUAACACGACGCUCAGCAGAAAGCUGAGCACGG